CUGGUGCCGAUUAGCCCCGUGGGUGAUACCCCAUCCUGAGCAGGCACUGCUGCCCGCAUCAUGGAGCAGCUGCACGCAGUGCCCCCCACCACAGCUCCUGCCCUGCUGGAGCGCCGCACAGGAGGACAAGCCCUCCGUUCCUCCUGACUCCCGGUAACAUCCUCACACAAGGACCUGGCUGUCCCCAGGCCUGCUGGCUGUGCACAGUGGGAGCGGCAGGCUCUGCUCUGCUCCUCUGGUGCUCCCCACAUGAGCACAGUGGGUGCUCAGUGCGGGGCAGCCUCCCGCUGCCGUGAGUGCCUAGGCAGGCAGCAGCCACCGAUGCAUUUCUUUCUCCUCAUUAUUUUUUUCCCUGUUCUCCGUUUGAUCACUCAGCUGUUCACCACAAUGGCGAGAUAAAAAUGCAGUGCUUCAUUGUUACGCCAAGGAUCUCUCUUAACCCAAGGCUUUUUAGUGCAUGCUGAGAGCAAUGCCGAGCUUUCUCCUGGACAGGUGAGGAUCAGGAUUCCCGAGAGAAGACUGUCCAGCUACGGUUUGGGACAGGCUUUCUGCUUUUGCCGUGCUGCCUCUGGCUGUGCAGCGAGUGUGCGUGAAGCCUGUAGAGAGAGCUACAGCUUCAGCUAUCCAUGUGGCACAGGCGUACACUCCACUACUGCUCUGCUUUCAGCCAGCAACUGGGAGCUUCGAAUGGUUUGGGUAUUUAAUGCUUUAUCUAAAUCAGCCCCCUGCUUCCCUUCAGCAUGUUCCUGGAGCCCUGGUGGGGUGGCAGAGCUGCAGCUGUGGGCCCCUGGGUGCGUGGGGCAGGCAGGGCUGCUCUGGCUGCCUCCUUGCCUCCAGCACCCAGCCACGACUGCAAUGGCAGAUCAGGCCUGCACGCUGAGCCAGCCUGGCUAAUGAACUGCACAUGGCUUUUAAUUAGAUUCCCCGGGCACAUGGUCAUCUUCUGUGAACCUGCUCCUGGGUGGGAGAUGCAGGGAUGAGCGUGGUCUGCCCGGGAGCCUUUGCUUCCUGCAGCCAGCCUGCCCUGGUGCCUGCACCUCCUGCCUAGGGCUGUUCUCCUCUGGAGUUAAAUCGAUUUUGCAUGAGCGCUAGUGUUCAGGACCAGACCUGUUCUCUCUGCCAGGUUUGUAAUGCUUUUCUCCCUAUUAGCUUUCUGAUACUCAGCUAUCACGGCUUUCUGUAAGGAUGUUUAGGUUUUAUAUGUACUUUGUCUGACAUAUAAAACACUUUAUAAACUUUAUCCAUUUAAUUCUCCUACACUGUGCACUGUGCUGUAGGAGCAUUAUCUUCACUUUACAGAUAAGGAGAUUUACAUUCACACAAAGCCAGAUUGGAAUUGGGGUAAGGACCAGGCUCAGAGCUCCAGAUGUGACGAUAACCUGCUGCGUGCUUAAGGCAGUAGAUUGUACAGCUCUUUCCCAGCACAACGUUGCAGGUCAGGCCAUGGAUUUCCUUCUUACAGGCUGCUUUUUGUUUCAGAUCGGGCUAAACCUUGCUGGAUGUUUACCGUUCAUUUCAGGUAAUAGAGCAGAGCUAAUGUGAGCAGCAAAGAUCAUCCACAGGCAAAACACAGCAUCCAUUAACUCCUUGCACCUGCAAGGACCAAAAAUCUCCUUCGAUCCCACAAGAUUACCUGUUCUGCAGACAUUGCAUGGAGUCUUAAGAGCCUGAAAAUGUGCAUGAAAAAAGCACUCCCUGCAUUUUGCCCUGCCGUGUUUUGAAGCCCUGUGACAGGUCCUGCAGCCUUGUUUGGGUGAGCACGCACCAGCAAAGGGUCCCAUCUCUGCCAGAAAGGACAGGAAGGUCCUGGUGCUUAUGUCACCUUCUGUACAGGACCUACAAGAACUUCACUGCUUUUAAAGUAGAUGCUUCUCUUUUUUCUUUCUUUCUUUUUCUAUUUCUGUGCAAAUACAAGCUGCCCCUUGGUAAACUCUGAGCUGAGAAACAUCUAGCAGUGCUGUCAAGAGGAAUCUACAUUUGCUUCAAGGAAAAUACGUGACUCAUCCCUGUGUCCCUGCUACAGCUGUGUGGAGUGAAGUCAAAACCCCCAUGGCUGGGAUGAAGCCAACUUCCAGCGAUACUUCUACAUAUAUUAUAAGUCCAGUAUGAAUGCCUACAGACGUUUCACAGACUGAACUCAGAAACGUACUCCUUGACACCGAGCCACCAUAUUAAAGGUGUUGAAGUACACGUUGUGUAAGCCUGAGGCAAUAUACAGAAUUAAUGAAAGAAACACCGCAUACUCUGAGCUUUGUAGACCACGACAUGAAAUAAUAUCUGGAUUUUUUUCACACACAAUUUUUCACAACUAUGAAAAUGCUGAUUCCAAGUAUCCUAGUAAAUAACUAAAUAACAGUCCUCUGACCCUGGUGAGACAAUUCCAUGCUAAGAGAUUUUCUUGAAAUUCGCAGCUGUUGCCUAUUAGAAAUGGUUUGGGGGUAUUGGCUUUGAAACAGAUAUUUUUUUUCCCUGCUACAUACUGCUGGUACUGCCCAUGAAAGAUGCACUGUUUGAUGUGAGUUUUUGCACAAAAUGAAUAUUUGAGUUUUGAGCUAUGAAAAACGUCUUCUUUUUCUGAAGAGUGUGAUACAUACUGAAGCUCCAAGCUCACUGGUUUCUCCUGAUUGAUAUCCACAGAUGAGCUAGUCUUCUACCUUAAACCACUCUUCCUGCAAGUAUAGAAUAACAACAUGGGCUGUCGGCAGAGUACCAGGUAAAUGUUAUCAUGGGCCCAAGGGCUUUCCCUGUCCCAAGAGCUCUUUUUGGAAGCCAGCAAAUGACUGUCAAAUGAAAGCAUAUUUACUUGAUGCAAACAGCAGUGAGAUGAUGUUUGCAAAUGCCUCCUUCUGUUUCCAAACAGUACAAACAACAAAGUACUGCCUCAGACUGAUUUCCACCAAAUAUAUUUUCACGCUUUUCCAUUGUUAGUUGGUUGGCUUUCCUUUUUUAUUAUUAUUAUUUUUUAUUUUUUUUGGGGGGGUUGGGGAGGCUGAGGGCAGGAAGUCAAUGCUUUGUAAGCUAUCCUCAGCUAGAAAAAGGUGAAGAACCAGCACUAUUUCAAGUCAAUGCAUUUUAAACAGAAUAUGCUCUCCGAUAUUACUAGUUGGCCAAUCUUUUUGACUUCAACUGUUGGUAGAUUUUUUUUUCCUUUGGCCUGGUCCAUUCGGAUACCGCAGAACUUCACGAAAUUAGUGAUGCUGCCUUUGAAAACACUGCCUAUUUUACAGAGAGGAAAUACUUAAAACUCAAUGAUAUGAAACUAACUAGAUAUAUUUGAAAUAUUGAUUACAUAUAUCUUCUGGAAUAGGAUAAUGGGAUAUUCCUGGUUGCUCUAUGCAUGUUUAUACGUCUCUGAAAUGUUUGAUUAAUGUGCACCUAAUCUUUCUUUCCGCUAAUAGACCAUCAUAUUUCUUACUAAGAAAUGAAUUAUUCGACCACUGGUACAAGUGGCUGAGAGAAGGCCAUUUAUAAUGCUGCAUCUUCAGCUAAUGUUUCUUCAGUAACUAAUCCUUGACCUGGAAAGCUCUUUCACAGAAAAUGACUAAUAUUGUCAAUUUUAAUUUUUGCUUUGAAUAUGUUUUUCUGAUGGCAGUCUAAUCUAUCCUAAAAUACUUUAUACUUUACAAUAUUAAUAAAACAUACAUAGAAAAUAAACAAAGGAAAACCCUCAUAAAGCAAAAUUUGAAUCCUGUUUCUGGAGAUGUUUUCCCAGAACUUGGAAUUUAUGCAAAAGCAAUAUAUAGGCAAAAAGAAAGAAAAUAUUUUCAAAAGCAAAACAGAAUUGACUUAACCUAUCCUUUUCUUGGUUCACAAAAUAUAUUGUCAUUUUAGGCAGGUAUUGAUUUUGCUUUCCAUUUUUCUUUUAAGAUUAACUCACAUUUGAAUGUUUUUAUCAUUUUCUGUAUCACAUUUUUGAGCAAUGUUAUUUUUCAUAUUUCUGAAAAUUGCUUAGUUAAGAGAUUCGACAAAUAGCAGGUUGUAAUAUCAACAGUUGCUCUCUGCUGGCCUUGUGUGUAUCAGCCCUAGUCUUAUCAUUUGUACACUAUAAGCAGCCCUUCUUCGUACAAUCAUUUUCAAAAUUGCUGUGCUAAACUUUAGGGAAUUGGGAUGUUCACCACAUUUGUACACUCAGUCAUGAGCUCAGACAAGAACACUGAGCAUUAGGCAUGGCAAACAAACCAUGAAAACUUACAGUUGUCAGACUGGAUGACUUUUGUAGAAAAGCUGCAGAGGGUUAGUUUGUUCCUUGGCACCUUUUGUAGGAAAAAAUAAGCAUUUGCCUACAUAUUUUCAAAAGCUUAAAAAAGAUCAACAGAAAAUAUAACCCAGUGUCACUGAUGUAAAGGCCCAAGCACUCUGAGCUAGGGUCACAGCCCUGAACAGAAGCCUUAGUAUCCAAAUUCUUCCAAUUAGCAACUAAAAAGUGGCAACUUGUAAUUUCUUUCCACUUUAAUAAACUGUACAGAUGUACCCUGCAUCUGACAUCCAGAGUCUUUUAGACAAUAUCCAGUUGCCACUCAAAAGCAGGAGCAUUUUAAAAUGGGGGCCUUCUUUAAAAAACGGAGAUCACCUCCUGAAUCUGCAGAUUGGUAAAAUCCAGCCUGGCAUUUUGGCAUGACUUCAACUUCAGUCUGAGGAAGCCUGAGCCUUCUCUGUAGUAGAAUUUUCUGGAAAAGCAUUCACAAGAAACAGUAAUGAGUUAUAUGGCAUCUGCUGACUUUGACAUGGAGCUUUUUUGAUCCAUCUUAUGGAUUUAAGUUCUCCCUAUUGUGUUAACACUGUGACUUUUUGUAAAUGAGAGGAGUGGAAUUUCAGCUGGGACUCUCCUCCUACCCUUGGCUCCAGGCUGCAGACCUCCCAAGAGCUAUUGGGAGGUUGAAUGAAAAUAAAGAUUACUAGAACUGAAGGCAGCAAUGGAUGUGAUCAGUCCCUCAGUAAGAUAUGUACUGGGAGCCCUGUUAAAAUGAAAAUGGAGAGAAAGAAGUGUUUUCACAAACUAGCUGUGUAGAAAGAGCAACUACACAGAUUAUGCUUACCUGGAAUAGAUGAGCUAAUAACAUCCUGCCCCUCCCUUCCCCUUCCUCCCCCACUGUUACUUGAGGAGGUGAGCAGGAAUCUCUAGUGGUGAAGAAAAGGGUUUGAUUUACUUCUUAGAACAUCUGAGUUUGUAAUUCAACAACCUGUUCCUGAGUUGAGGGAAAAACAUCUAUGCGUGCCGCUGAAGAAAUGGAGCUCCAUGUUGUCCAUUUGGGGACACUGAGUUCAACAGUGCAAUAUUUCUUCAUAAAAGUGCUUUCUCUCACAUGGAGAAUCUCGCAUGCAUUUCCCCAGGAGUACUGUGGAAGGUUUGCUGCAGUAAGGAUGUUUCUGAGACACUGUGUGUCGGCACAGACUCCACGGAUGCCCCCAAAUUUCCCAGCCUCACUGAUGCUAAUCUCCUUGUCCAGGAAUCAGCAAAGGCAGGCACAGUGUCACCAGUGUCACAGCCAGGCUCCCGCCUUGGGAUGGGAGCCACUGCCUCAUGUGGGAGCGUCGCACGUCCACGGGGGCUGAACCAUCCCAUCUCCAUGUGGUGGCAUGUGCUACCACAACCAUUCUUCCAGACAGCAGCGAACACUUUCUGAGCCCUUUGCUCUCUGCAGAAGAGGUACAGAGAUCCGGGUGUUUCCUAUUGUGCCUCCUUUAAUUGCCAAACUAAGCUGGCCUCCUGCUUGAUGAGAGCUCACAUCGCAUCAGAAAACUACAUGCUCAGUCCUGCAUUUCAUGUCAUUGAAAGGCUACGUAAUCUAUUCUUUAUAGUAAUCUAUUUGUUAUAAAGUAUUAGAAGUUUUCUUCCCACAAAAAGUUCAGCUAUUACCUUCACAGAAGGAUUAUUUUUAAAUUGCAUAUAUCCUACCCACAACGUUACUACCUUUGAAUACACACAUACGCACACAAUCAUUUUGGACUAUAAUCUCUGGGAGAAGACAGUUUUCCAACUAUCCAUAAAUGAGGAUAAUUGUGCUGGGUUUGUACACAGUAAUAUGGACACUGAAGUUGAAGUAGGGAGAGAAAUCACUAAUUAUAAACAAUAAACACUGGAUGUUGUCACUUCACAGUUCUGCUGACUUCACAGAGCCGCAGCUGCUUUAUGGAAAGUCAUGCUAAACAUUUCUUUGUGUCAAAACAAUUCUGCUUAUAUAGCCUAUACUUUCCAUAUUUCUUUAUUCUGAGAUACUAGAAGCAUUUGCAUUAAAAAAGUAUCUUUGUUUCUCAAGAGUUCAUCUGCUUUCCUGCUUAGCAUGCACAUGCCAAGAAAAUGAGAUCAGUGGGAACAACAAAAGCCCAUUUCCCCAGGUUACGAAGCCUUCUGCCAUAAUAAACAGGAGUAACCUGGAGAGCAUACCUGACCUGCUGCCCUGCCUUCUCCUUUUUCAGACAGAUUCAGUCACAGAUAUUGCUCUGCCCUGACAGGACGUGACCUUGGGGUACUCAGGAGAAUUGGGGACAAAUUGGAAUUCUAAGUAAUUUCUUUGGAGUUAAAAUAUUACUGCAGUCAUUCAUAAAAAUCUUCCCUUUGAAGAGGUAUUGAUCUCCAAUAAUGGCAGAAUAAACAGCUAAACAAGAAUCCUAAGAAAGCCAGCUUCAAAUGUAUUUCUUCCUUAGCAGUGGGCAGAUACUGUAAAUUUAUGCACAUCCCGGAGCCUUUGCUAAAUUGUUUGUGUGGGGCAGCUAGCCUGUGGCUGUCACGCAGCAAUUUGGGGACGCUACCGGUUAUAACUGUGCUGCACUAAAACACAAUGCUUGCUGCUAUUCUAUUGUGGCAACACUCCCCUCAGCAAUUCAGUUUAUUCGCCCUGAUGCAGCAGCUCCAGAGCUACAGGUAGCUGCGGGCCGGGCUCCCGGCCUGCAGGCCUCGCUGUGGGAGCAGGCCCUGACGCCAUGAGGGCAGCUCCCUGCUGCUGUGUGCUGCGGGGUGUGGGGGGUACUAGGAGCAGCUGAGACUGGGGACAGGCUCAAAGUGCCUUUGUGAUUGAGUUAAUUGUUUAUCUGUUAAUGAGCAAAGGCCGGGAAAGGAGUUGGUUUUGUGGUGAGCAGCACCAAAAGGGUGGGUGAUUUCUCCUGGUGAUGGGGGGACCUUUUGCCUCUCCAUAGCUUAACCAAAAGGAAACAGAAGAACUUGCUGGAAAAACAAGGUUGUAGUGCCACAAGUUUAGAAACAGAAAUACAACACAAAGCAUUUUCUAAGAAACAAAUACAGUAUUAAUUUAGUAAACAAGGUUUUUAAAUGGCUUUCUGUGAGAGGCAAUGCUAAAACCACUCUUAGUUGUAUGCCUUGAGAAUAACUACGGAUCAAAUUCACCCAUUUUUCCCCAGCAAAAUGCUUUGUGCCCUGCUGUUUAUCACAUCCUAUUACUCUUGAUUAUACCUGUUUGAGACUUAUGCCUUGGCUUAAAUAGAACAAUGCUGUUAUCACAGUGGAGCUGUUACUUGUUUCUUUGGGCCACUUUUUGGCAUCCUGUGGUGAAAGAUCAUCCUUUUAUUUGCACAGUGCUCAGCUCAGCUUACGUGGUACUGAAAUUUGAGUAAUGAAUGAUGAUUCGGGCAUCCUGCUUCGUGUACGGCCUUGCCCUGUCCUCCAUGCAAUGACCAGGAUGAAAGAGAGCUCUGGAAUGGGUGUCUGUAGUUCUCCAGGAGAUAAGGCAAAGCAGAGCAGAACAGUGGCUUGAUCAGGAAAUAGGUCUGACUUCAUGGGAAUGAGCACGAUUUUGAGGAGAGAAAUGUGCUCUAUCUCGUCUUGCUGAUUUGACUGGUCCAGCCAAAUUUCAUGGAAGCAGUAUCUUUAAACUGUCUCCAGAUACCCUACUGGAUCCAUUAUUUCAACAGAGCUAUGUAAUUCUGCAUCAUCACAGCACUGGUCCUCUUCAUUUAUGCUUGCCUUUAAAAGAGGAAAUCCUUAUCUAACGUAUCUGGUUGUGUUGCACUCAUGACAUAGGAGCAGAAAACCUCCAGAAGUUAGCAGCAAUGUCUAUUACAGCUCCUCAUUCUCUUACAAGAUGCAAGAGGGCUCCUGGUUGAAGAGCUCAACGGGAUGCAAGCAGGUGGGGACAAACACCUGCCGACCACUUCUCCAUGUGCAUGGUGAUGAAGAAGAAAGCUAAUUAUGAACGUUGCUCUGAGUGUGGAUUCACUGUUAGUCACACAGGUCCAGUGUACCCAGAAUUAAGAAGACUUGUGUUCCGCAGCAAGGUCUGGGGAGUUGAUGCUGCUCUGCCUGAAAUGCUACACCACUUUCAGAUUAAUUAAAAUCUGGAUGCUUUUAUUAACAAGCUGUGACAAUUGCAAAUGUAGAAGACAAAUCAGAAUGUAGCUCUUUUUCAGCUGUCUUCUCUCUGUGUGUUCUGCUGCCUGUGUGGCUAAUGCAGGUCAUCCAAAAGGUAUUUCUUCCCAACUGACCUCUGCAUCACCACCGCCUAAACUGUGCCGCUUUCCUUUCGAUACCUGGAAAUGGGCAUUGCAAAAGGGCUCCAGUGACCUGGAUUUAUGGAUCGUCACAGCUGCUGAGAUGGGAUGUUGUGAUCUUAGCCACCAUCCUUGAAACCACUUUUCAUGGAAGUUCACAAUCAGCAACCUGGCUGAAGGACGGUGUGUACUCUUAGCAAACUUGCUGAUGACACAAAACCAGGAGGAGUAGCUGAUCCACCAGAGGGCCGUGCUGCUAUUCAGAGAGAACUGGACAGGCCGGAGGGUUGGGCCAAGAGGAACCUCAUGAUGUUCAACAAAGGCAAGUGCAAGGUCCUGCACCGAGGGAGGAAUAGCCCCAUGCACCAUUACAGGCUGGAGCUGACCUGCUGGAAAGCAGCUCUGUGCAGAAGGACCUGGGAGUGCUGCUGGACAGCAGGUUAACCAUGAGCCAGCACUGUGCUCUUGUGGCCAGGAAGGCCAAUGGCAUACGAGGCUGUGUUAGGAAGUGUUGCCAGAGGUCAGAGGGAGGUGAUCCUGCCCCUCUACCCAGCCCUGGUGAGGCCACACCUGGAGCAUUGUGUCCUGUUCCAGGCUCCCCAGUACAAGAGGGAUCUGGAGCUACUGGAGCGAGUCCAGCAGAGGCCUGCUAAGACGAUUAGGGGGCUAGAGCAUCUGUCAUAUGAAGAGAGGCUGAGUGGGCCGGGCUUAUUUAACUUGGAGAAGACUGAGACUGAGGGAGGAUCUUAUCAGUGUACGUAAAUAUCUGAAGGAAGGUGUGAAGAGGGUGGUGCCAGACUCUUCAGUGGUACCCAGCAACGGGAUGAGGCAAUGAGCACAAACUGAGGCAUGGGAAGUUCCAGAUAAAUAUGAGGAAAGCCUUCCAGUGCUGUCACCCUUACAGUAAAAACCAGGUUGCCCAGAGAGGUUGUGGAGUCUCCUCUGGAGAAACUCAAAACCCAUCUGGAUACGAUCCCAUGCAAUGAGCUGUAGGUGACCCUGUUCGGCAGGAGGUUGGACUAGAUGAUCCCUUCCAACCUCAACCAGUCUGUGAUUCUGUGAUGAUUUGGUGUCCCUACUGUUUUUGGAGAUGCCUCUUUCCCAUCGAUACACUUGGUGGCAAAAUCACAGAAUCACAGAAUUUCUAGGUUGGAAGAGACCUCAAGAUCAUUGAGUCCAACCUCUGACCUAACACUAACAGUCCCCACUAAACCAUAUCCCUAAGCUCUACAUCUAAACUGUCUUUUAAAGACCUCCAGGGAUGGUGACUCCACCACUUCCCUGGGCAGCCAGGGAAAAAGACAAUUUUUGGAAAGUAAAUGUCCAAAUCUGCACUGAUUCUAUAAACGUGCCAUACUUUAUACAAGCCUAUAACUGGGAUUAAUGCUUGUGGCUUAUUAUUGGCUCUUCACAGACACUAUAUAUGAUAGCAAUCAAUCAUUUAAUGAUGAUAAUAGGUUUGGGGUGGUUUACUCAAUGUCCUACCUUUUACAGGUACUCUGACAGUCAGCUAAAAGAGUUAAUAUAUAUAUAUAUCUUGAUACUUAUAUAUUUAAGCUGACUUUUCAGCUUCAGUUUAGUAAGGCAGCUCACACUUCUCAGACAGCUAAUGUGUCAGGCUGUCUGUACCUCCAGGAGUGAAAUGAUUUAAAAAUUAUCUUUCCAACCAUAACAGUUGGGAUCAUUAUAUUUUUCACUGAAAGCUGAGAAUAUGCAGUGUAACACCGCCAUAGAGGAGGGAGCUAAUCAGAAUCUAGGCAUUCUGGAAUAUUUGUGAAUUUAAAAUACAACUUUUGAAGUCCCAUAAAAUAUGCAUUUUAAUUAAUUUCUUUAUGGAGUAUUAUACUGUUGGAGAUAUAAAAUUCAAAGGCAUGAUUGUCCUGUUACCAAAGAAUCCCACUGCUAGUAUGACAGUUUUGACAGUGGUUACAGUGGAAGACUUGGGACUGAGCCCUAAACAUCUUUUUCUUCUUCUGCUACUACGCUGUUCUGUGACUUGAAGUGAAUUGUUAUGUCCAACGGUAAAAACAUACAAUGAUUAUUAUGAUGUGUCUUACAAAGAACUUGUAAGACUUAUUUUUUUUGCUGGUACCGCAUUUGUGAUCUUUGGAUGAAAGGUGCUUCUGACAUCUAAGUACAAUGUAUUAUUAAAUCUUCACAUUUUGUUGCAAACCUCUCCAGAAUAGACUGUUCUAGUCAAGCCUUCACUAUACUUGUCUGAGUACCUUAACUAAUGUUCAGACUAAUUUGCUUCGAGAAAAAUAAGCCCUCCUAACAUAUGAAUGCUAUUAACUUGUUAAUUCUGGUGAACCCCAGCCUACUUUAUUUUACAUGUCCUUACAAGAAAAAUAGAGUGAAAACAGCUGAAAGAGGAAAAUGUAGAAGCGUAUGGAUAUUACUCCCAAAAUUGUUGUUGGCUUUAUGUUUUUGCUACUGUCAAGCUGCAAUAUCAAUACUUUGUCCAACUGACUACGGUCCUAAUAGGGCACUGCAUAGGGUGUCAGAUCUAAUUCCAGAAGUAGCAGCGUGAGGAAGCAUGCUGCGAGUAAGGAGUAAGCUGGGGAGCUAGAUACUGUGAUGGCCUUUUAUUUUAUUGUUUGCCAGUAAUGAAAAUACGUGGUGUCUGAACAAUAACAUACUGUAUACUAAAACUUUCCUUCUUUAGCUGAGCAUGUAAGUCUGCUGUUUCUCUAGCACUAAGAACAUGCCUUUAGCAUUGUUAGACAAUCAAAAGCCAGAGAUUUAAGGAUUUAGGUCUAGGUGGUCCCUAAGCUUUAUGUCUGGGAUGAUCUCAGCAACAUUUUGAGAUAUAAAUACAACUAAGAACAAAAACGAGUGCAUGGCAAUUGGUGUUUGGAAAAAAAUAACAGUACCAGAGCUGAAAAAGAUGUCUAGAGAUAUGUAAACAGUCUCUACAGCUCUUAGGACUAUGUUUGUGUAGAGCCCCGUUUUAUUCAGUAGUCUGUCUGUAAUAGGAGGGAGCUGGAUUGCCUCAGGUUGGGCUGGAACUGAGAGAGACGUGGUGCCUCUGAACAUGCCGCUCAUCCUCAAGUGAUGUCCACAGCCUUGACUCCUGAAGCCAGCAAGCUCCUGCACCUUAAGGCCAAGGCUUAACUCUUCCUGCCCGUAUGUAAAAUAUGAUUACCUGGGCAUCCCAGCCUGUCUGAAAACCUGCAUCAGGUGAAGAGCAAUCUAGUAUUUUGAUUGCUUAUCACAGGACAAUGACUUCUGUUUCUGGCACUCCAUGCCUACAUUGCCUGCAAAUGAUCAAUUUUACCUUUAAAAAAUAAAUAUAUAUAUAUAUAUUUAUAUAUAUAAAAUAAUAUAUAUAUAUAUAUAUAAAUAUAUAUUUUUUUACAUAAAUGUUCCUAAGUCACAACAUUAGACAGCAAGCAUUAUAUUGGACUGAUAUCUGAAAUAAAAAAAAUAAUUAAAUGGUAUAGACAUGUAACAAUCUUCUUUAUGGCAAAUUUACAAUCUAAGUUUUGAAGAGUAUGCGUAUCACUGGACUAUAUCUCGUACUGUUAAACAUUGCUGCUGUUCAUGAGAGAAGUUGAGACGAUAGCUGAUGUUUAUUCACAAAAUGCAGAUAUCUUUCUUGGGUUCAGAUAUUGUAAAAGGUUAAUGAGAUAUUAAGUCACAAGUGGGCAGAAAGUCUCUAAGGUUUACAAGCAGACAGUUAAUAAUGCAGUGUGACAAGCUGCUCUUGUUCUCCAGCUACAUCAGCAGUCCUAAAUGACAGCAGACUACACAGAAGAUUACUCACAAAAUUAUAAAGUACAUUAGUUUUUGGAAUGGCAAAAUGAAGGCUUUUUUUUUUUUUUAAUUAUUAUUUUUUUUAAUGAUACCCAUUCUGAAAAAGUAAUGAACUUUAAAGGAUUAUUUCAGACUUGCAUCUCUGACUUGUUGCUCUUCUGUCUGGCACCUGUUUUCAGAUUCUCAGUCAGCUGAUGUGCCUUUUACCACAUAACAUUUCUAAAACUGUUUAUAUUAUGACAGAAAGAAAACUGUGUCUGCUUUGUAUGGUUGAUAGAGCAAAUUACAAUUUUCAAAUGGAAAAUACCAUUUAGGCUAGAGAGGAAUAUAUGUGCCCUCAGAAACAUCUGGAGUUUUCUAUUAUUUUCCAAAUUACAAAGACAAGGAGGGCUAGACUUGACAAGGAAAAUUACUGAGGUGCCCCUGUUCUGUUCUUGCUACUUCCCCAUAAGUGGAAUUUUUAUUUGCUGUAGGAGGUCAGCUUUAAAUUGCAGCUAACAUAGCAUGAAAUUCCUGUGGAGCAGUGAGG